rnacentral:rRNA from 1 species
ACUCGACUCCAUGAAGUCGGAAUCGCUAGUAAUCGUGGAUCAGAAUGCCACGGUGAAUACGUUCCCGGGCCUUGUACACACCGCCCGUCACACCAUGGGAGUGGGCGGCAAAAGAAGUAGGUAGCUUAACCUUCGGGGGGGCGCUUACCACUUUGUGGUUCAUGACUGGGGUGAAGUCGUAACAAGGUUACCGUAGGGG